UGAACAGAAGUGACAUCUAUCUUCUCUGUCCUGACAUUUUGCCCCUAAUUCCUUCAGAAUCAGAGGGUAGUAGGAAAGUUCUUCUCCAGUCUAUUGUUUGUCUUGCGGUCCUGCUUCCAAUGACUAUUUUGUAAGAGAUCCCUUUGGGACAAGUGAUAAUGCAGAAAAUAUCUAAGGGCAGAGUUAGCCUUUGAAAACCAUACCUCAGAUAAAUACAUUCAAUUCUCCAGCAUUUUGCAUGGUUGGUAGGAGUUGGGGCGAGGACAGGAGUUCACCCUGUUGCGUGUGCUUGGAUCUCGAACCUGGGCUGCCAGAUUUCCAGCCAACAAGUCCAGUGUCUUAACCACUCAGGCAUCAUGCCACCCUUGGAUGGUAGAAUUUGCAUAUCCUUUAAUUCAGUGCCAAGGUAGUCAUCUGUCAUCCAUCAUUUUCAUCUGUAAUUCUCUUGUGAUAAUGUUGCUGCUCCUGCAUAUCCGUAUAACCACCAUAUUUCUAUAUUCCACCACAGUGGAAACCAGGAGAAAUGAUGAUCACCCAUAGCUCAAUCUGAAAAGCUGUUCUUCAGAACUAUAACUGUGGUUGAGAGCAGAAUUUACUAAUUACUAUUAAUACUACCAAGUAUAAACAAACAAACAAACAAACAAUAUGUCUGUGUGAGAGGUCUUAACAAGAAAUCCAAGCUGUAGUACCAAAAAGUAAAUGCUUACAUGAAAAUGCAAAUAAAAUAUCUUGCAGAGAAGAAAACUCAGAACUACAACUCAAUACAAAUCAAGUUUGCAUGAUAGGAUGAGGUACAGAUGGACUGAUAUAUUCUGACUAUAAUCCUUAAUGGCAGAAUUAUAUUCCACUGUUUAUUUCUGCAAGACCUAUUUGCUACUGACCAUUAAUGUAAAUAUGGUAUGAAUGAAGCUUAAUACACUGAUUACAUAGCUGUCUUAUUCUUCUGUAUUUAGAAUAUAUACAAGAUUAAUUUUAAUACUAAUAAAAUCAUUAUUGAUAAGGUC